GAAUUUUGGACAAUGGGCGAAAGCCUGAUCCAGCAAUGCCGCGUGCAGGAUGAAGGCCUUCGGGUUGUAAACUGCUUUUGUACGGAACGAAAAGCUUUGGGUUAGUACCCUGGAGUCCUGACGGUACCGUAAGAAUAAGCACCGGCUAACUACGUGCCAGCAGCCGCGGUAAUACGGAGGGUGCAAGCGCUAACCGGAAUUCCUGGGCGUAAAGCGUGCGCAGGCGGUUUUGUAAGACAGAGGGGAAAACCCCGGGGUCAACCCGGGAACGGCCUUUGUGACUGCAAGGCUCGAGUGCGGGAGAGGGGGGUGGAAUUCCGCGUGUAGCAGUGAAAUGCGUAGAUAUGCGGAGGAACACCGAUGGCGAAGGCAACCCCCUGGGCCUGUACUGACGCUCAUGCACGAAAGCGUGGGGAGCAAACA
rnacentral:rRNA from 1 species